rnacentral:rRNA from 1 species
GACGAACGCUGGCGGCGUGCUUAACACAUGCAAGUCGAACGAAGUGGCGAACGGGUGAGUAAGGCGUAAUCAACCUGCCCUUCAGAGGGGGACAACAGUUGGAAACUACUGCUAAUACCGCCUACUGAAGGUGGGGCUUGGGUCUGAUUAGCUAGUUGGAGGGGUAACUGCCCACCAAGGCGCUGAUCAGUAGGCGGUCUGAGAGGGUGAACGGCCACAUUGGGAAUGGGAAACGGCCCAGACUCCUACGGGAGGCAGGAGGGGGGAAUCUUCCGGAAUGGACGAAAGGCUGACGAGGCAACGCCGCGUGAGUGAUGACGGCCUUCGGGUUGUAAAGCUCUGUUAAUCGGGGCGCGGUACCGGAAUAGAAAGCCACGGCUAACUACGUGCCAGCAGCCGCGGUAAUUC